rnacentral:rRNA from 1 species
GAUGAACGCUGGCGGCGUGCCUAAUACAUGCGAGUCGAGCGAACAGAUGAGGAGCUUGCUCCUCUGACGUUAGCGGCGGACGGGUGAGUAACACGUGGAUAACCUACCUAUAAGACUGGGAUAACUUCGGGAAACCGGAGCUAAUACCGGAUAAUAUAUUGAACCGCAUGGUUCAAUAGUGAAAGACGGUUUUGCUGUCACUUAUAGAUGGAUCCGCGCCGCAUUAGCUAGUUGGUAAGGUAACGGCUUACCAAGGCAACGAUGCGUAGCCGACCUGAGAGAGUGAUAGGCCACACUGGAACUGAGACACGGUCCAGACUCCUACGGGAAGCAGCAGUAGGGAAUCUUCCGCAAUGGGCGAAAGCCUGACGGAGCGACGCCGCGUGAGUGAUGAAGGUCUUCGGAUCGUAAAACUCUGUUAUUAGGGAAGAACAAAUGUGUAAGUAACUAUGCACGUAUUGACGGUACCUAAUCAGAAAGCCACGGCUAACUACGUG